rnacentral:tRNA from 1 species
GGUGAGGUGUCCGGGUGGCUGAAGGACCCCGCCUAGAAAGUGUGUAUACGGCAACGUAUCGGGGGUUCGAACCCCCCCCCCACCGCCA